CUGGCUCAGGACGAACGCUGGCGGCACGCUUAACACAUGCAAGUCGAACGGAGAUAUUUUGAGUUUACUUAGGAUAUCUUAGUGGCGGACGGGU
rnacentral:rRNA from 1 species